AUCCUGGUGGCCUAAUGGAUAAGGCGUCGGUUUUCGGAGCCGAAGACUGUGGGUUCGAGUCCCAUCUAGGGNN
rnacentral:tRNA from 1 species